GGAGCAUGUGGUUAAUUCGAAGAUACACGAAGAACCUUACCUGGCCUGACAUGGUAGGAACCCUUAAGAGAUUAGGGGGUGCUAGCUUGCUAGAACCUACACACAGGUGCUGCACGGCUGUCGUCAGCUCGUGUCGUGAGAUGUUGGGUUAAGUCCCGCAACGAGCGCAACCCUCGUCGUAGUUGCUAACAGUUUGGCUGAGCACUCUAACGAGACUGCCUUCGUAAGGAGGAGGAAGGUGAGGACGACGUCAAGUCAUCAUGGCCCUUACGGCCAGGGCUACACACGUGCUACAAUGGGGCGUACAAAGAGCUGCAAUACCGCGAGGUGGAGCCAAUCUCUUAAAGCGUCUCUCAGUUCGGAUUGUUCUCUGCAACUCGAGAACAUGAAGCUGGAAUCACUAGUAAUCGUAGAUCAGCUAUGCUACGGUGAAUACGUUCCCGGGUCUU
rnacentral:rRNA from 1 species